AUCUACGGCCAUACCACCCUGAACAUGCCAACACGCCCGAUCUCGUCUGAUCUUGGAAGCUAAGCAGGAUAGGGCCUGGUUAGUACUUGGAUGGGAGAGAGAGAGAGACAUCUGCUGACCUGAUUU
rfam:Erinaceus europaeus unplaced genomic scaffold scaffold00290, whole genome shotgun sequence